GACGAACGCUGGCGGCGUGCUUAACACAUGCAGGUCGAACGGAAAGGCCCUGCUUUUGUGGGGUGCUCGAGUGGCGAACGGGUGAGUAACACGUGAGUAACCUGCCCUGGACUUUGGGAUAACUUCAGGAAACUGGGGCUAAUACCGGAUAGGAGCUCCUGCUGCAUGGUGGGGGUUGGAAAGUUUCGGCGGUGGGGGAUGGACUCGCGGCUUAUCAGCUUGUUGGUGGGGUAGUGGCUUACCAAGGCUUUGACGGGUAGCCGGCCUGAGAGGGUGACCGGCCACAUUGGGACUGAGGUACGGACCAGACUCCUACGGGAGGCAGCAGUGGGGAAUAUUGCACAAUGGGCGGAAGCCUGAUGCAGAAACGCCGCGUGCGGGAUGAAGGCCUUCGGGUUGUAAACCGCUUUCGCCUGUGACGAAGCGUGAGUGACGGUAAUGGGUAAAGAAGCACCGGCUAACUACGUG
rnacentral:rRNA from 1 species